AUCCAGCUGACGAGUCCGAUGUAGAACGAAACGCACGUCCUGGAU
rfam:Schistosoma rodhaini strain Burundi genome assembly, scaffold: SROB_scaffold0008572